CCCCUAUGGCUCGUGAGGCGUCCGGACUGGCCCAGAGAGGUGGGCAACUACCACUCAGGGCCGGAAAGCUCUCCAAACUCGGUCAUUUAGAGGAAGUAAAAGUCGUAACAAGGUCUCCGUUGGUGAACCAGCGGAGGGAUCAUUACCGAGUUUACAACUCCCAAACCCCUGUGAACAUACCACUUGUUGCCUCGGCGGAUCAGCCCGCUCCCGGUAAAACGGGACGGCCCGCCAGAGGACCCCUAAACUCUGUUUCUAUAUGUAACUUCUGAGUAAAACCAUAAAUAAAUCAAAACUUUCAACAACGGAUCUCUUGGUUCUGGCAUCGAUGAAGAACGCAGCAAAAUGCGAUAAGUAAUGUGAAUUGCAGAAUUCAGUGAAUCAUCGAAUCUUUGAACGCACAUUGCGCCCGCCAGUAUUCUGGCGGUCAUGCCUGUUCGAGCGUCAUUUCAACCCUCAAGCACAGCUUGGUGUUGGGACUCGCGUUAAUUCGCGUUCCUCAUAUUGAUUGGCGGUCACGUCGAGCUUCCAUAGCGUAGUAGUAAAACCCUCGUUACUGGUAAUCGUCGCGGCCACGCCGUUAAACCCCAACUUCUGAAUGUUGACCUCGGAUCAGGUAGGAAUACCCGCUGACUUAAGCAUAUCAAUAAGCGGAGGAAAGAAACCAACAGGGAUUGCCCUAGUAACGGCGAGUGAAGCGGCACAGCUCAAUUUUGAAUCUGGCUCUCGGUCCCGAGUUGUAUUUUGUAGAGGAUGACUUUUGAUGCGGUGGCCGUCGAGUUCCCUGGAACGGGACGUCCAUAAUGGUGGUGGCCCCCGUGUGCUGAUGGCCUAUCCUCUCGUAGUUACUUCUAACAAGCGAGA
rnacentral:rRNA from 1 species